rnacentral:rRNA from 1 species
UAUGUGAUCGUCUCUCGCAUAUCAAUAAGCGGAGGAAAAGAAACUAACAAGGAUUCCCCUAGUAACGGCGAGUGAAGCGGGAAGAGCUCAAAUUUGAAAUCUUAAAGGGUUUCCCUUUACGAAUUGUAGUUUAAAGAAGUGUUUUCUGUUGAGGUUUGGGUAAAAGUUCUUUGGAAUAGGACAUCAUAGAGGGUGAGAAUCCCGUAUUUGACCUUUACUUUCAACUUUGUGAUACACUUUCAAAGAGUCGGAUUGUUUGGGAAUGCAGUCCAAAAUGGGUGGUAAAUUUCAUCUAAAGCUAAAUAUUGGCGAGAGACCGAUAGCGAACAAGUACCGUGAGGGAAAGAUGAAAAGAACUUUGAAAAGAGAGUUAAACAGUACGUGAAAUUGUCAAAAGGGAAGCGUUUGACACCAGUGUUGUUUUUCUGAAAAUCAAUUAAAGAACUGUUUAUGCUAAGCUGUUUAGACUUUAUCAGCUAUCUGUUUAGUUUUGAGCUUUUCUUUAAUGCACUUUUCAGUUAACAAGUCAACAUCAAUUUCUUUUGCUGUAAAAAAGCUUGAGGAAGGUGGCUUGAGAUUCGUCUUAAGUGUUUAUAGCCUCUUGCCUAUGCAGUCGGAGAGAUUGAGGUCUGCAGCGUAGAUCCUUCGGGGCUAAAUGCAUUUGUGCUAAGUUAUAGCAUUUUAUAGACAACUUGUUGACUAUGAUUUGUCUUGUAGCUUACUCGCUUAUGUUAUUUUACCUACGCUUAGGAUGUUGAGCGCAUGUCUCUCUCU